rnacentral:rRNA from 1 species
ACGGGAGGCAGCAGUGGGGGAUAUUGCACAAUGGGGGAAACCCUGAUGCAGCGACGCCGCGUGAGUGAAGAAGUAUUUCGGUAUGUAAAGCUCUUUAAGUUGGGAAGAUAAUGACGGUACCAACAGAAUAAGCCCCGGCUAACUACGUGCCAGCAGCCGCGGUAAUACGUAGGGGGCAAGCGUUAUCCGGAUUUACUGGGUGUAAGGGAGCGUAGACGGCAUAGCAAGUCUGAAGUGAAAUCAUAGGGCUCAACCCUGUAAUUGCUUUGGAAACUGUUAAGCUCGAGUACCGGAGGGGCAGGCGGAAUUCCUGGUGUAGCGGUGAAAUGCGUAGAUAUUAGGAGGAACACCAGUGGCGAAGGCGGCUUACUGGACUGUAACUGACGUUGAGGCUCGAAAGCGUGGGGGGCAAACAGGAUUAGAUACCCUGGUA